rnacentral:lncRNA from 1 species
AAACAACUCUUUGCCGUCUCUUUCUCCAUUUUGUGA